rnacentral:rRNA from 1 species
GGGUUCUACCGUUGGUCAGGCUAUUGUCUGUACUGGUGUGUAGAAUUUCUACCUUCUGGGGAACUAUCAUGUUAUUAAUUUAGCGUGGUAGGAAACCAGGACCUUUACCUUGAAAAAAUUAGAGUGUUCAAAGCAGGCUUAUGUCUGAAUACAUUAGCAUGGAAUAAUAAAAUAGGACGGCAUGGUUCUAUUUUGUUGGUUUCUAGGAUCACCGUA